CCUACGGGAGACAGCAGUGAGGAAUAUUGGUCAAUGGGCUUACGCCUGAACCAGCCAAGUCGCGUGAGGGAAGACUGCCCUAUGGGUUGUAAACCUCUUUUGUCAGGGAGCAAUUGGCGCUACGUGUAGCGUUAUCGAGAGUACCUGAAGAAAAAGCAUCGGCUAACUCCGUGCCAGCAGCCGCGGUAAUACGGAGGAUGCGAGCGUUAUCCGGAUUUAGUGGGUUUAAAGGGUGCGUAGGCGGAAUGCCAAGUCAGCGGUAAAAUCGCGGGGCUCAACCUCGCUCCGCCGUUGAAACUGGCGUUCUUGAGUGGGCGAGAAGUAUGCGGAAUGCGUGGUGUAGCGGUGAAAUGCAUAGAUAUCACGCAGAACUCCGAUUGCGAAGGCAGCAGACCGGCGCCCAACUGACGCUGAAGCACGAAAGCGUGGGUAUCGAACAGGAUUAGAUACCCCUGUAGUC
rnacentral:rRNA from 1 species